GGGGCGCUGUUCAUAGAGGCAGUGGGCCAGCAGGACAUCAGCAAGAGGAUCACAGUGUUUCAGUAUGAACUGGUGGCCAGCCACGGACCUGCUCAUCUGUACCCACACCUCAACACUGGCACUGCCUCCUGUACACCCUGCACAGAUGACCAGAUCCUGAUGGCGGUAUGUACCAGCGACUUUGGUAAGCACACACACACAACACCACAACACACACACAGGUUACGCACAACACACAGACACACACACACACACACACACAACACCACAACACACACACAGGUUACGCACAACACAACACCACACACAGAACAAUGUCCAUCACCAUCAUUAAGUUUGCUGGCGACACGACGGUGGUCGGCCUGAUCACCAACUACGAUGAGACAGCCAAUAAGGGAGGAUGUCAGCGCUCCACAUCGACUGUAGGGGAGCAGGUGGAGAGAGGUUCACCUUCCUCUGUGUCCACAUCACUGAGGAAUUAACAUGAUAUACACACAUAAACACACACACACACACCUCACCUUGCCCCUCAGGAGGCUUGGGCCCUCAGACCCUCAACAUGUUCUACAGCUGCACCAUUGAGAGCAUCUUGACUGGCUGCGUCUCUGCUUGGUACGGCAAGAGCAUCGCCCUAGAUCACAGCCCAGUAGACAGCCCAGUAGACAACCCAGUAGACAGCCCAGUAGACAGCCCAGUAGACAGCCCAGUAGACAGCCCAGUAGACAGCCCAGUAGACAGCCCAGUAGACAGCCCAGUAAACAGCCCAGUAGACAGCCCAGUAGACAGCCCAGUAGACAGCCCAGUAAACAGCCCAGUAGACAGCCCAGUAGACAGCCCAGUAGACAGCCCAGUAGACAGCCCAGUAGACAGCCCAGUAGACAACCCAGUAGACAGCCCAGUAGACAGCCCAGUAGACAGCCCAGUAGACAGCCCAGUAGACAGCCCAGUAGACAGCCCAGUACUUGGUACGGCAGCUGCUUGGCAUCCGACCACAAGGCGCUCCAGAGGGUAGUGCGUAUGGUGCAGUACAUCACUGGGGACGAAUUCCCUGCCAUCCAGGACCUCUAUACCAGGCGGUGUCACAGGAAGGCCCUAAAAAUGGUCAAACACUCCAGGCGUCCAAGACAUAGACUGUUCUCUCUGCUACCACACGGCAAGCUGUACCGAUGCCCCAAGUCAUAGACUGUUCUCUCUGCUACCUCACGGCAAGCUGUACCGAUGCACCAAGUCAUAGACUGUUCUCUCUGCUACCACACGGCAAGCUGUACCGAUGCCCCAAGUCAUAGACUGUUCUCUCUGCUACCUCACGGCAAGCUGUACCGAUGCACCAAGUCAUAGACUGUUCUCUCUGCUACCUCACGGCAAGCUGUACCGAUGCCCCAAGUCAUAGACUGUUCUCUCUGCUACCACACGGCAAGCUGUACCGAUGCCCCAAGUCAUAGACUGUUCUCUCUGCUACCACACGGCAAGCUGUACCGAUGCCCCAAGUCAUAGACUGUUCUCUCUGCUACCACACGGCAAGCUGUACCGAUGCCCCAAGUCAUAGACUGUUCUCUCUGCUACCACACGGCAAGCUGUACCGAUGCCCCAAGUCAUAGACUGUUCUCUCUGCUACCUAACGGCAAGCUGUACCGAUGCCCCAAGUCAUAGACUGUUCUCUCUGCUACCGCACGGCAAGCUGUACCGAUGCCCCAAGUCAUAGACUGUUCUCUCUGCUACCACACGGCAAGCUGUACCGAUGCCCCAAGUCAUAGACUGUUCUCUCUGCUACCGCACGGCAAGCUGUACCGAUGCCCCAAGUCAUAGACUGUUCUCUCUGCUACCUCACGGCAAGCUGUACCGAUGCCCCAAG